rnacentral:rRNA from 1 species
CACGGAGGGCGCAAGCGUUGUCCGGAAUUAUUGGGCGUAAAGAGCUCGUAGGCGGUCUGUUACGUCUGCUGUGAAAACCCUGGGCUUAACCCUGGGCUUGCAGUGGAUACGGGCAGACUAGAGGCAGGUAGGGGAGAAUGGAAUUCCCGGUGUAGCGGUGAAAUGCGCAGAUAUCGGGAGGAACACCGGUGGCGAAGGCGGUUCUCUGGGCCUGACCUGACGCUGAGGAGCGAAAGCGUGGGGAGCGAACAGG